rnacentral:rRNA from 1 species
UACGUAGGGUGCGAGCGUUAAUCGGAAUUACUGGGCGUAAAGCGUGCGCAGGCGGUUUUGUAAGCCAGGUGUGAAAUCCCCGGGCUCAACCUGGGAAUGGCAUUUGGGACUGCAAGGCUGGAGUGCGGCAGAGGAGACUGGAAUUCCUGGUGUAGCAGUGAAAUGCGUAGAUAUCAGGAGGAACACCGGCGGCGAAGGCGGGUCUCUGGGCCGAUACUGACGCUGAGGAGCGAAAGCGUGGGGAGCGAACAGG